UUGGGACUUUCUCUCCAAGUAUUGCUUCCAGCAACACUUCCAGCAAUUUCAGUAAUUCACAGCAGCGGCCAUUGUCAAUUUUAAGCCAGGAACGACGAAGCAAUCAAAGUCCCCAUGCACCAUGGAUGCCAGCCAGUGGUACUUAACGUUUAACGUUUUCUGUUGGAUAAAAUCUGGAUAAGUAGGCAAAGAAAAAGAGAGGGAGUUGGUGUAAAAAAGAUUGGGUUGCUAUAUUAUGCAUGUUGUAAGAUUUUUUUUUCUGAGGUUUGGAUAUGUAAACAGUCUUUCUUGCACUUGACAGUUAUCUCCUUAACAAAAGCUGACCCAAAAUUUUCGUAGCAUCA